rnacentral:siRNA from 1 species
GACUUUGGAUCCCGUCACUUGAC